UAUAUUACGAUGAAGAAGAGGAGUAGGUAAUUAUCCUAUACAGAGAGAAAAGUCCCUAGGCUGAAAGACUUUUAUAGGCAAUUAUUACCGAAGGUAGCUUCCAAGUAUUUUAGCUGAAAACUAAAGUAGGCUAGAACGGAUUAACCGUUAUAUAUUUUAAGAGCCAUAGGCUUUGCUUAUGGAAUUAAGGUGGUACCGCGAAUUAUCCUUCGUCCUUAGA
rnacentral:ncRNA from 2 species